rnacentral:rRNA from 1 species
GAUGAACGCUGGCGGCGUGCCUAAUACAUGCAAGUCGAGCGAACAGACGAUGAGCUUGCUCCUCUGACGUUAGCGGCGGACGGGUGAGUAACACGUGGAUAACCUACCUAUAAGACUGGGAUAACUUCGGGAAACCGGAGCUAAUACCGGAUAAUAUAUUGAACCGCAUGAUUCAAUAGUGAAAGACGGUUUUGCUGUCACUUAUAGAUGGAUCCGCGCCGCAUUAGCUAGUUGGUAAGGUAACGGCGUACAAAGGCAACACUGCGUAUCCGAACUGAGAGGGUGAUCGCCGCCACUGGAAAUGAGACACGCGCCCGACUCCUACGGGAGGCAGCAGUAGGGAGUAUUCCGCAAUGGGCGAAAGACUGACGGAGCAACGCCGCGUGAGUGAUGAAGGUCUUCGGAUCGUAAAAACCUGUUAUUAGGGAAGAAAAAAUGUGUAAGUAACUAUGCACGUCUUGACGGUACCUACUCAGAAAGACACGGCUCAAUACGUG